GUGAACACAGUGAUGUCUUUUGUUGAUUCCAAUGGAGUUCACUCAUCAAUGCAGAACUUGGUAUCAUCAGAUGCUGCUCCGACCCCCUACUACCCUAUCAUGCCGUCGAUGCCAUCUCCACCUCCGGCGGCGGAGAUUUAUCAAGUUCCCACCCCUGGCUUUACCGUUCCUCUUCCCGAUCUAUCAGGGGUAGCACUCCCUAAUUCAAUUGAACCGGUUAAGAGGAAGCGGGGAAGGCCUAGGAAGUAUGCUCCAGAUGGUUCUGCCAACUCCGGGAUGGUCUCUCCUCCAUCGGCGGCGCAGUCUGCCGGUGGAUUUUCGCCUACGGAGGGAGGAGAUGUACCGUUGCGGAAAAAGGGUAGGGGCAGACCUCCUGGUUCUGGGAGGAAACAACAAUUGGGUGAUUUAGGAUCUGCAAGUGCUGGGACUGGAUUCAAACCACAUAUUAUCACAGUACAAGCAGGGGAGGAUGUAUGGGCAAAACUAAUGUCAUUCUCUCAAAGUACCUCUCAAGCUGUCUGCAUCAUGUCAGCUAAUGGCUCCAUAUCUAAUGUGACACUUCAGCAAGCAGCACUGUCUGUUGGAAAUGUAGCAUAUGAGGGUCAGUUUGAGAUCCUGUCUCUGUCUGGUCACUUUCUACCAUCAGAAUCUGGUGGCGAGCGCAUCAGGACAGGUGGUUUGGGUGUGUUACUAGCUGGAGCAGAUGGCCAGGCACUAGGUGGUGGUGUGGCAGGAGUUCUUACUGCUGCAUCGGCUGUACAGGUUAUUGUAGGCACUUUUGGUAUGCAAGGGCAAAAGCAGUUGAAAUUGGAUAAUUCUGAUGGUUUUGGCGUGCCAUCCUUGGUGCAUCCCCCUGGAUCAACAGCGGCUAAAAGUCCCUCGUCAUUUGGAACUGUAAGCGAGUCCAGUGGUGAGCCUGUGAGUCCUCAUAAUCAGCUUGGUGAAACUUCAACUAUUAGCACUCCCGUGGUUGCUAAUAACUUGCCCUGGUAAAUGAUAGGAGUGAUGACUUACCUCAUUUCAAUGAUUAUCAUAUCGACAACUUGUGUUGAUAUUCCCUCCAUCCCUUGUUAGAGAAGCCAACCUUUAUGUGUUGGUUUAGAUUUUCAUUCUAGUUUGAUUUUAUUAUAUAAGCACCGCGUUGUGUAAACAUUAAACGGAUCAGUUUGAAUUUUGUAUUUGGAAAUUGUCGAGUUCUAUUUCUCGAUGAAGCAGAAAAU
rnacentral:misc_RNA from 1 species